AGUGAACGCUGGCGGUAGGCCUAACACAUGCAAGUCGAACGGCAGCACAGUAAGAGCUUGCUCUUACGGGUGGCGAGUGGCGGACGGGUGAGGAAUACAUCGGAAUCUACUUUUUCGUGGGGGAUAACGUAGGGAAACUUACGCUAAUACCGCAUACGACCUACGGGUGAAAGCAGGGGAUCUUCGGACCUUGCGCGAUUGAAUGAGCCGAUGUCGGAUUAGCUAGUUGGCGGGGUAAAGGCCAACCAAGGCGACGAUCCGUAGCUGGUCUGAGAGGAGGGUCGGCCACACUGGAACGGAGACACGGUCCAGACUCCUACGGGAGGCAGCAGUGGGGAAUAUUGGACAAUGGGCGCAAGCCUGAUCCAGCCAUACCGCGUGGGUGAAGAAGGCCUUCGGGUUGUAAAGCCCUUUUGUUGGGAAAGAAAAGCAGCAGGUUAAUACCCCGCUGUUCUGACGGUACCCAAAGAAUAAGCACCGGCUAACUUCGUG
rnacentral:rRNA from 1 species